rnacentral:siRNA from 1 species
UCAUCCUCUACAAAUGACGCCAC